GCCCCCGCUCCCCGGGGCAGCUGCCCUGCCCGGCCCGGCCCGGCCGCUCCCUCCCCGCCCGGUGCCCCGGCCUCCCACCGCAGGGCAGAGGGGUCCCGGGGGUCCGCGGGGAUCCCCCGGCCACAUGCGCCUGGGCGUAAACUUCGCACCCCCGCCCCGCCGCUGGGAGCGGAGAGGAGAGAAGGGAGAGCCGCGCUGCGGAGCGGGCGGCGGAGGGAGGCGGCCCCAGCCCUAGUGCGCGGGGGCGGCGGGCGCUGCCGGCUGAGCCCCGCUGCUCGGUCACACAGAACGGCGGCCGCCGGGACCUGCUCCCUCCUAAGGGCUGGGGAGGAGAGCCGCGAGUGGCCGGAUAAAUACGGGGGAGGAGAAGGGCGUCUCUCCUCUCCCCACCUCCCUCCAUCUCCUCCCUCCCCCCCGCCGCGGAGGGCGCGCUUGGAACUGGCUCUGUCUGUCCGGGCGCCCGGGGCGUCUCCGCGCCCUUCCGCGGUGCGGUGCGCGCAGGCUGGGUGCGGGAGGCGGCUGAAGGUGAAGCUCUCGCUCUCCAAUUACUUUUCCCAAGAGAGAGAAGGAGGCAGCAGGAGGGGGAAGUCGUGCUGUGUGUGGAAGGCACACCAAUCAGAGAUGCUCUAACGGAGGGACUGCUGCAGGACGCGCCGCUUCUCCUCCUUCCUCUGCCGGCGGGGCUGAACCGGGACCACGCGCAGCUGGCGUAGGGACCGGAGCCGUACUGGGCUGCAAGACUUACCCAUCUCCGCUUUUGCAAUAGCUCGACCAUACUUCGACCUCUCUAUUUUUUUCCUUUUUUUUUAAUACUCUGAAAUCGUGCACAAGAAACACUUCAAGUAUUCUCUCCAUUCCCAGUUAUUUCACCCUUCCUCUAGCAUCUCUUAGCUGGAUUCCUGGUGUAUUCCCAGAGAGGCGGGGUGAGAGAGCCGGGCCCCGCGGACGGCUGCUGCCCCAGCCCGGCCGAGCCGAGGGGAGCCGGGCGGAGCGCGGCACGGCGCCGCUCCAUGCCCCCGAGCGCUGGCGGGGCGCGGGGCGUGUGCCGGCGAUGCCCGGGCGGUAAGGCUGGAGCUCCCCCCGGACGGGAGGUGGCCGAUCGCUAGGCAUUUCUAGCAAGAAUCGGGACUGCAGGGACAAGGAUUCAGCCCAACAAUGAAGCCCACCUGAGUAGAGGCAAGGAUGAAUAAGAGAUACUUACAGAAAGCAACAAAAGGAAAACUGCUAAUAAUAAUAUUUGUCGUAACACUGUGGGGGAAAUUAGCAUCUGGGGCAAAUCAUCAUAAAGCUCACCAUGUUAAAACUGGGACCUGUGAAGUGGUGGCGCUUCACAGAUGCUGCAAUAAGAAUAAGAUAGAAGAAAGAUCACAGACAGUGAAGUGUUCCUGCUUCCCUGGGCAGGUAGCAGGUACCACCCGGGCAGCUCCUUCUUGUGUUGAUGCUUCAAUAGUGGAGCAGAAAUGGUGGUGCCACAUGCAACCAUGUCUUGAAGGGGAGGAAUGUAAAGUUCUUCCAGAUCGUAAGGGAUGGAGCUGUUCCUCUGGGAAUAAAGUGAAAACAACUAGGCUAUGGCAGUAUUCCUGGAGCCAAAUGUGAGUGCACUUCCUCAAAAUGCCAGCAGUGGAAGCUGGUAAACAAGUGGGGAAAAAUCACCAGAGGAAUCUCUGAAGCUUGGGACAAAGGCAGAAAACACAUCAGUACUGCACUAACAGAACAGCAGGUACUCUUAUAGAGAAGAUAAAAUUACAGGCAAACGUGUAAAACCCCUCAAGUCCGAAUGGAGAAGUAGAGAAAGGAGGUUUCUGCUGUGCCUGAUGACAAUUUUUCUUUUUUCCACACAUAAAAAAUAUUCUGGCUCCACGUUGGAGCACUAGUUGUGAUGAAUCAUAGUCUUGGUCGGAUUCUAAGGAAGGGCCAGAACGUUCGUUGAGGAAUAAAGAGUCAAACCACUCCAGAAAAUGUGUUCCAGCCCCGCUUUAUUGCUCGCAGAGCAGCAGGUAACCCGAUAGCUAAAGACAAAUCAAGCCAGUCUCAAGGCUGAUAACAUACAACACAUAGGAAUUUCAUUCCUCCAGGCAAUCCUUGAAGUGAAAUUUUAUACUGCUGGGGUGUAUCCUUCAGAAUCAAUUGUUUCAAUGAGAACCUGGCUUGCAAUCAGCAACAGCCUUGAGAUCAAAACUACUGGAAAGUUAUUUUGAACUUCUGUGUCACAAAUAUUUCAACUGAUUGAACUGUGUACACUUGUAAAAUUGCACUUGCUGAGGAAUUUGCAGCUGUAAUCAUGAGCUAAUAUUCUAAAGGUGCAGAAAAGCAGCAAACUUUUGGGUUCUCCAUUGCAAAUCAGUGGCUUUCCAUCUUGAAGUCAAACUCUGAAAUGUAUUGGAUCCUUCACUCUAAAAUGAUCCUUGGUGCACUGUUCAGAUUGCUGGUGGGACUGCACGCUGCUUUAAUUAAAUUUCUGUUGCAGAAUUUGUCCUCGAGCAUGGCGCAGUUUUAGACAUUUUUAUUUGUGUUCUAAUCUUGCAGGUCUCAAAGCUACAUAUUUCAACAUCUUGAAGUUGCUUUGUUAUAGGAAUGGAAUUAUAUAACCAUUGCUAAUAAUUAUUGUUGACAAGUAAUAGUUAUCUGAAUACAUCAGUCAUAUUAGAAUGUAUAGUCAGGUUGACAUGUUUCCCUAAGGCUAACCAACUACUGCAGUUUAACAGUUAAAGAAAGUAGUGGUCAAAACUCAAUUACUACUUCCAUCAUAAGGCAUUUCAUAUCUUUAAUAUAUAUAUUUCCAUUUAGUUUGAGGGAAAUGAGUGUUCCCAAUAUGUACUUUACUUUCUUAACCUUUGAUUCAUUUAAAUUCAUGGUAAACAGUCAAUUCCACUAUUUCAUCCCUUUUAUACAAAAGUAGGCAGGGAUGUAAAUGAGUUUUGCAGUUAUGAUAUUGGAUGGUAAUCAUUCAGAAUUUUUGUCUUUUUAUUAAAAAAAAUAUCUCUUGCUUGAACUUAAAUACUGAUGGAUGCUUAUGUAGAUGUUUGCUCAGUCUGUGUGACAUAAAGGAAAAAAGUCCUAGUACUCUCCCAGUUUUACACUUCAUGGAUAUUUUGCCUGCGUACAGUCAUCCAAUUCAGAUCUGUUUUGUUUUGUUAGAAAGUUUUGAACUUUUCAGUGUGUUGUUACAUGAAAAAAAUCCUCAAUAUUUGAAGGCCUUAAGCAUCUUUGAGCUUUUUUCUAAGUUAUUACAGAAUGUAUAAUUUUAUACUCCAUUUAAUGUAUAUUGGACCAUCUGUAAUGUUGAUACAAAAGAAAUUUGGCAAUUCCUUUUAGUGACACUGCAUAAACACACUGACUAGAGGGAGUUCUGACUGUAUGCUUUGGUGAAUUGAAAUGAAAGCCACACGCACUUAAUGGUAGUCAAAAAUACAUAGAGAUAAGCUUGUUUAAGUCCUGUGUGGUUACCAAACACAACAAAAAAACCCAAAAAAUAGAAAAAGAAAAAAAGGAAUAGAAUGAAAUGGUUUAAUCAUUGUAAGCCAUUGACAUGGCUAGUUUAGUUAUAUAUUAAGUUUUGUGAUGGAUGAACACCCUGGCAAGCUCUGCCUGUCACUGUAGCCCCCGCUGUUCCAAAACCAUUUCAUUACCGCUGCUGUAUUAUUGCACAGGAGAGCUUAAAUAAAAUAAAUGACUGUUGGGAAUAAAACUGAGAAGUAUAUUCUAUCAUUUUGCUAGGAAAUAAUAAGAAAUAUGUUGACAGAAAAAGAUCUUAUUUUCUGAUUAAAAUUUAAUUAGAAUAAACCGUUUGUAGCAGAAACGAAGUCUCUUGGUAUUUUAGGAUGGAUUAGUAUUAUAUGGAUUUGUGCUAAGAGGUUCAGGACGGAAGGUAGCAUCUUAAAGAGGUUGUCUGGGACAGUGCAAAGCAUAAAUGUGCUGUUUUGUAAAAUUUAAAUAUGACCUCUAUUUGGUUGAAAAUCUACAUCAUGCUUCUCAAUACUAGUUUACUUUGUUUCCUUGUUCUUAAACAGCGCUGAAAAUAAUGUAUUAUAUACAAGUGUAACACAUGCAUACCAAUAAAUGAAAAUAAAUGGAUUUUCAAAUAUACUGAAUAGAUUCUCUGCAGUAGAUUAAUGUUGUGACUAUUCAUAGCAAGUGAAUAAAAUUGUAAUAUAAAAUAGA